CCUACGGGAGGCAGCAGUGGGGAAUAUUGCACAAUGGGCGCAAGCCUGAUGCAGCCAUGCCGCGUGUGCGAAGAAGGCCUUCGGGUUGUAAAGCACUUUCAGUCAGGAGGAAAGGUUAGUAGUUAAUACCUGCUAGCUGUGACGUUACUGACAGAAGAAGCACCGGCUAACUCCGUGCCAGCAGCCGCGGUAAUACGGAGGGUGCGAGCGUUAAUCGGAAUUACUGGGCGUAAAGCGUACGCAGGCGGUUUGUCAAGCGAGAUGUGAAAGCCCCGGGCUCAACCUGGGAACUGCAUUUCGAACUGGCAAACUAGAGUGUGAUAGAGGGUGGUAGAAUUUCAGGUGUAGCGGUGAAAUGCGUAGAGAUCUGAAGGAAUACCGAUGGCGAAGGCAGCCACCUGGGUCAACACUGACGCUCAUGUACGAAAGCGUGGGGAGCAAACGGGAUUAGAUACCCCGGUAGUCCACGCCGUAAACGAUGUCUACUAGAAGCUCGGAGCCUCGGUUCUGUUUUUCAAAGCUAACGCAUUAAGUAGACCGCCUGGGGAGUACGGCCGCAAGGUUAAAACUCAAAUGAAUUGACGG
rnacentral:rRNA from 1 species